CAGCCGCCACGGUAAUACGUAGGGUGCAAGCGUUAAUCGGAAUUACUGGGCGUAAAGCGUGCGCAGGCGGUUUGUUAAGACAGAUGUGAAAUCCCCGGGCUUAACCUGGGAACUGCAUUUGUGACUGGCAAGCUAGAGUAUGGCAGAGGGGGGUGGAAUUCCGCGUGUAGCAGUGAAAUGCGUAGAUAUGCGGAGGAACACCGAUGGCGAAGGCAGCCCCCUUGGCCAAUACUGACGCUCAUGCACGAAAGCGUGGGGAGCAAACAGGAUUAGAUACCCCCGUAGUCCCUGUCUCUUAUAC
rnacentral:rRNA from 1 species